rnacentral:rRNA from 1 species
UACGGAGGGUGCAAGCGUUAUCCGGAUUCACUGGGUUUAAAGGGUGCGUAGGUGGGUUUGUAAGUCAGUGGUGAAAUCUCCAAGCUUAACUUGGAAACUGCCGUUGAUACUAUAAAUCUUGAAUGUUGUGGAGGUGAGCGGAAUAUGUCAUGUAGCGGUGAAAUGCAUAGAUAUGACCCGGAACACCUAUUGCGAAGGCAGCAGGCUAAACAAAUAUUGACGCUGAGGCUCGAAAGCGUGGGGAUCAAACAGG